CCUGGGAACUGCGUUNUGAACUGGGUGACUAGAGUGUGUCAGAGGGAGGUAGAAUUCCACGUGUAGCAGUGAAAUGCGUAGAGAUGUGGAGGAAUACCGAUGGCGAAGGCAGCCUCCUGGGAUAACACUGACGUUCAUGCCCGAAAGCGUGGGUAGCAAACAGGAUUAGAUACCCUGGUAGUCCACGCCCUAAACGAUGUCGAUUAGCUGUUGGGCAGCAUGACUGCUUAGUAGCGAAGCUAACGCGUGAAAUCGACCGCCUGGGAGUACGGUCGCAAGAUUAAAACUCAAAGGAAUUGACGGGGACCCGCACAAGCGGUGGAUGAUGUGGAUUAAUUCGAUGCAACGCGAAGAACCUUACCUGGUCUUGACAUGUACGGAACCCUCCAGAGGCGGAGGAGUGCCUUCGGGAGCCGUAACACAGGUGCUGCAUGGCUGUCGUCAGCUCGUGUCGUGAGAUGUUGGGUUAAGUCCCGCAACGAGCGCAACCCUUGUCAUUAGUUGCCAUCAUUAAGUUGGGCACUCUAAUGAGACUGCCGGUGACAAGCCGGAGGAAGGUGGGGAUGACGCCAAGUCCUCAUGGCCCUUAUGACCAGGGCUUCACACGUCAUACAAUGGUCGGUACAGAGGGUAGCCAAGCCGCGAGGCGGAGCCAAUCUCACAAAACCGAUCGUAGUCCGGAUUGCACUCUGCAACUCG
rnacentral:rRNA from 1 species